rnacentral:rRNA from 1 species
CCUACGGGGGGCAGCAGUGGGGAAUAUUGGGCAAUGGGCGCAAGCCUGACCCAGCAACGCCGCGUGAAGGAAGACGGCUUUCGGGUUGUAAACUUCUUUUAAGAGGGAAGAGCAGAAGACGGUACCUCUUGAAUAAGCCACGGCUAACUACGGGCCAGCAGCCGCGGUAAUACGUAGGUGGCAAGCGUUGUCCGGAUUUACUGGGUGUAAAGGGCGUGCAGCCGGGAAGACAAGUCAGAUGUGAAAUCCCGCGGCUCAACCGCGGAACUGCAGUUGAAACUGUUUUUCUUGAGUACCGGAGAGGUCAGCGGAAUUCGUGGUGUAGCGGUGAAAUGCGUAGAUAUAAGGAAGAACACCAGUGGCGAAGGCGGUUUACUGGACCACAACUGACGCUGAGACACGAAAGCGUGGGGAGCAAACAGGAUUAGAUACCCGAGUAGUC